UGCAUGGAUGGACCUCUCACUCUCAGAGUAUGAAGACAGGGAGAGAUGUGGGGGAAGCUCAGCUGCAGCUGUGGGUAGAGAAGACAGGACUCAGGACAAUCUCCAGCAUGGCCUGGUUCCCUCUCCUCCUGAUCCUUCUCACUCACUGUGCAGGGUCCCGAGCCCAGUCUGUGCUGACUCAACCACCCUCAGUGUCUGGGGCCCUCGGGCAGAGGGUCACCAUCUCCUGUUCUGGAAGCGGCUCCAACAUUGGAAGUAAUGAUGUAUACUGGUACCAGCAGUUCCCAGGAACAGCUCCCAAACUCCUCAUCUAUGAUAAUAAUCAGCGGCCCUCAGGGGUCCCUGACCGAUUCUCUGGCUCCAAGUCUGGCACGUCAGCCUCCCUGGCCAUCAGUGGGCUCCAGCCUGGGGAUGAGGCUGAUUAUUACUGUGCAGCAUGGAAUGACAGCCUGAGCGGUCCCACAGUGCUCCAGGCCCAGGCGGAACUGAGACAAGAACCUCCUUCCUCCUCUGCCAGGAGGGUGAGCUCCCGGCAGCUGCUGCUCAGGCCUGGCCUGUGGCCUCUGCUGCUGUAG